rnacentral:rRNA from 1 species
GGUGAACGCUGGCGGCGUGCUUAAGACAUGCAAGUCGAACGCAGUCUUCGGACUGAGUGGCGCACGGGUGAGUAACACGUAACUGACCUACCCCCAAGUCGCGAAUAACCAGCCGAAAGGAUGGCUAAUACGUGCUGUGAUGAUCCGAUGUGGCGGAUCAUUAAAGACUUGAUCGCUUGGGGAUGGGGUUGCGUUCCAUCAGCUAGUGGGUAAGGUAAAGGCUUACCAAGGCAACGACGGAUAGCCGGCCUGAGAGGGUGGCGGGCCACAGGGGCACUGAGACACGGGUCCCACUCCUACGGGAGGCAGCAGUUAGGAAUCUUCCACAAUGGGCGCAAGCCUGAUGGAGCGACGCCGCGUGAGGGAUGAAGGUUCUCGGAUCGUAAACCUCUGAACCAACGACGAAAGACCCGACAAGGGAGAUGACGGUAGUUGGGUAAUAGCACCGGCUAACUCCGUGCCAGCCGCCGCUGUAACAC